rnacentral:misc_RNA from 1 species
CAACAACAUUGUAAGCAGGAGUAACAUUUUGAACUGUUUGUCGACGCUCUUUGAUUGCAAAAAUGAUGAAACUACUCUGUUUGGUUUUAUUGGUUUGUGUAUUGGCCUAUGAAAUUGAAGGCUGGAGAACUCGUCGUUGGCGAGUCCGCAAAAUUGUCAGAGUGCCGCGCGUACGGAGAGUAGUACCACGUAUUCGUUUGCGUCGUUUCAGGGUGCGACGUUUACGACCGCGUUUGAGAUUCCGACGAAGAUUUCGUGUGCGGCGUUUGGUGCCGGGUAUACGACUGCGGAGGUUAGGCCUGCCGAGUAUCAGAAGGAUCGGUUCGUGUUUGAAACCUGCCCUUCAAAUAUACAAAAAACUGCAGAAAACGUUCUAUGGUGCUUACAAGAGGGUUUGCGGUGAUCGAAAGAGGCACAGCUGCGGUUUCAAGUUGUAUACACGAGCGAGAUCCGUCUGCAGUGGCCUAUCGUGCUUCAAGCGAAAUUUUGGUUCGCGGUUUGGCAUCGGGAAAAGAUCUAUCGAGUUCGACGCAGGAAUGGCAGACUCCGAAAAAACUAAUAG